AAGCAAACGGAGAUGAGCUCCGACUGGAGCGACCUGCUGACACAUGGUUCCGGCAAUGAAUUCCGACGAAGGUCCAUGUGUUCUCAGGUCGCCCCUGCCGGGCCUAAUCUCCACCGCUUCUG
rnacentral:pre_miRNA from 1 species